GGGCGCGUAGCUCAGUUGGUCAGAGCGCCACACUCACAUUGUGGAGGUCAGGGGUUCGAGUCCCUUCGCGCCCA
rnacentral:tRNA from 2 species